CCUACGGGAGGCAGCAGUGGGGAAUUUUGCGCAAUGGGGGAAACCCUGACGCAGCGACGCCGCGUGGAGGAUGAAGGCCUUCGGGUUGUAAACUCCUUUUGUGGGGGACGAUGGUGAUGGUACCCCAUGAAUAAGCCACGGCUAACUCUGUGCCAGCAGCCGCGGUAAGACAGAGGUGGCAAGCGUUGUUCGGAAUCACUGGGCUUAAAGGGCGCGUAGGCGGCAUUGCAAGUCUGGGGUGGAAUCCGAUGGCUUAACCACCGAACUGCCCUGGAAACUGCAUUGCUUGAGUCAGGGAGGGGAGGGCGGAAUUCCCGGUGUAGCGGUAAAAUGCGUAGAUAUCGGGAGGAAGGCCGGUGGCGAGGGCGGCCCUCUGGGGCUGGACUGACGCUGAGGCGCUAAAGCGGGGGGAGCAAACAGGAUUAGAUCCCCUGGUAGU
rnacentral:rRNA from 1 species